AAUUGCGAUAAAUAACAAUGAGACAUAACCCAAAAAUACGAAAGGUUCCGUGUUAGUUAUAUUUUGCAUGUGUCCCUUUUCAAAUAAGAAAUACAUGCAUACGACUUGUUUAAGUUAUUGAGUGCUUCUCUGCAGAAAAACAACCACAGACGAUGUAAGAGAUAGCGUUGUAGUGUGCAUGCUCUCAUGUCAUGUUUUGGCCCUAAGACCAUGUUUACUUCCUAGUAAUCACAAUGAUAAGGCGUAAUUCGUUUCUGCGCAAUUAUUAAACAGAUUUAAACGAAUUUGUGAAGGUUAUUGGUGAAGUUUUCUAUAUAAUGAACAAAUUUGGUUUCUUGCAUAUAAAUAAUUAUAUGUUCUAUGUGGUAAAGAAUAUCAUUCUUAAGAGCUUGUUAUGAAACUCGCCGUAAUAAUCGUCUGUUUGGUUAUUUUGAACAUAUUUGGAGACACAACAUGCGCAACUGACCAAUGUGCCACGGAUUGCAUAAUUCGUACCAGUACCUGUAUCGGUGUUUGUGGUGGAAAAGACAUAUUUCAGAUGUUGUCAUGUCAUUCAAACUGCAAAACUCAAUGCUUACUAUGUACCAUCAACUGCCCUAAUCGUGCAGGAACAGCUUGUCAAUUUUAAAUCAUAAAUAAAAGAACUAUUUAUUA